GAUGAAGAACGCAGCGAAAUGCGAUAAGUAAUGCGAAUUGCAGAAUUCAGUGAAUCAUCGAAUCUUUGAACGCACAUUGCGCCCGCUAGUAUUCUGGCGGGCAUGCCUGUCUGAGCGUCAUUUCAACCCUCGCCCCCGGCUUUUGCUGGGAGCGGUGUUGGGGAUCGGCCGCCCGUCACUGGGAGGCCGGCCCCGAAAUAGAGUGGCGACCACGCCGUGUGCUCCUCUGCGUAGUAGUAAAUCACCUCGCAGGCGGACAGCGGUGCGGCCUGCCGUAAAACCCCCCACUGUAACCCCAAAGGUUGACCUCGGAUCAGGUAGGAAUACCCGCUGAACUUAAGCAUAUCAAUAAGCGGAGGA
rnacentral:misc_RNA from 1 species